GUCCGACAACACCUGGGCCUCGCCCGUUGUCCUAGUCCCCAAAAAGGACGUAACGACCCGGUUCUGUGUCGAUUACCAACGCCUCAAUGACAGAACCGUGACAGAUGCAUAUCCCAUGCCCCGGGUGGACAAACUAUUAGAUCAUAUUGCCAGGGGACGCUAUCUGACCACCAUCGAUCUGUGCAAAGGAUAUUGGCAGAUUCCCCUGGCCAAGGAAG